AUUGAACGCUGGCGGCAGGCCUAACACAUGCAAGUCGAGCGGAUGACGGGAGCUUGCUCCUUGAUUCAGCGGCGGACGGGUGAGUAAUGCCUAGGAAUCUGCCUGGUAGUGGGGGACAACGUCUCGAAAGGAACGCUAAUACCGCAUACGUCCUACGGGAGAACGCAGGGGACCUUCGGGCCUUGCGCUAUCAGAUGAGCCUAGGUCGGAUUAGCUAGUUGGUGGGGUAAUGGCUCACCAAGGCGACGAUCCGUAACUGGUCUGAGAGGGUGAUCAGUCACACUGGAACUGAGACACGGUCCAGACUCCGACGGGAGGCAGCAGUGGGGAAUAUUGGACAAUGGGCGAAAGCCUGAUCCAGCCAUGCCGCGUGUGUGAAGAAGGUCUUCGGAUUGUAAAGCACCUUAAGUGGGGAGGAAGGGCAGUAAGCUAAUACCUUGCUGUUUUGACGUUACCGACAGAAUAAGCACCGGCUAACUCUGUGCCAGCCGCCGCAGUAA
rnacentral:rRNA from 1 species